rnacentral:rRNA from 1 species
CACGUAGGGCGCAAGCGUUGUCCGGAAUUAUUGGGCGUAAAGAGCUCGUAGGCGGUCUGUUGCGUCCGCUGUGAAAACUCGGGGCUUAACCCCGAGCCUGCAGUGGAUACGGGCAGACUAGAGGUAGGUAGGGGAGAAUGGAAUUCCCGGUGUAGCGGUGAAAUGCGCAGAUAUCGGGAGGAACACCGGUGGCGAAGGCGGCAUCCUGGACCGGCAUUGACGCUGAACAGCGAAAGCCAGGGGAGCAAACGGG